rnacentral:rRNA from 1 species
AGUGAACGCUGGCGGUAGGCCUAACACAUGCAAGUCGAACGGCAGCACAGUAAGAGCUUGCUCUUACGGGUGGCGAGUGGCGGACGGGUGAGGAAUACAUCGGAAUCUACUUUUUCGUGGGGGAUAACGUAGGGAAACUUACGCUAAUACCGCAUACGACCUACGGGUGAAAGCAGGGGAUCUUCGGACCUUGCGCGAUUGAAUGAGCCGAUGUCGGAUUAGCUAGUUGGCAGGGUAAAGGCCCACCAAGGCGACGAUCCGUAGCUGGUCUGAGAGGAUGAUCAGCCACACUGGAACUGAGACACGGUCCAGACUCCUACGGGAGGCAGCAGUGGGGAAUAUUGGACAAUGGGCGCAAGCCUGAUCCAGCCAUGCCGCGUGGGUGAAGAAGGCUUUCGGGUUGUAAAGCCCUUUUGUUGGGAAAGAAAAGCAGCAGGUUAAUACCCCGCUGUUCUGACGGUACCCAAAGAAUAAGCACCGGCUAACUUCGUG